UACGAGGGGGGCAAGCGUUGUUCGGAAUUAUUGGGCGUAAAGGGUGCGUAGGCGGCGGGGCAAGUCAGGUGUGAAAUCCCGGAGCUCAACUCUGGAACUGCACUUGAUACUGCCUUGCUAGAGUACUGGAGAGGAGAUUGGAAUUUACGGUGUAGCAGUGAAAUGCGUAGAUAUCGUAAGGAAGACCAGUGGCGAAGGCGAAUCUCUGGACAGUUACUGACGCUGAGGCACGAAGGCCAGGGGAGCAAACGGG
rnacentral:rRNA from 1 species